rnacentral:rRNA from 2 species
AGUCGAGCGGACAGAUGGGAGCUUGCUCCCUGAUGUUAGCGGCGGACGGGUGAGUAACACGUGGGUAACCUGCCUGUAAGACUGGGAUAACUCCGGGAAACCGGGGCUAAUACCGGAUGCUUGUUUGAACCGCAUGGUUCAAACAUAAAAGGUGGCUUCGGCUACCACUUACAGAUGGACCCGCGGCGCAUUAGCUAGUUGGUGAGGUAAUGGCUCACCAAGGCAACGAUGCGUAGCCGACCUGAGAGGGUGAUCGGCCACACUGGGACUGAGACACGGCCCAGACUCCUACGGGAGGCAGCAGUAGGGAAUCUUCCGCAAUGGACGAAAGUCUGACGGAGCAACGCCGCGUGAGUGAUGAAGGUUUUCGGAUCGUAAAGCUCUGUUGUUAGGGAAGAACAAGUACCGUUCGAAUAGGGCGGUACCUUGACGGUACCUAACCAGAAAGCCACGGCUAACUACGUGCCAGCAGCCGCGGUAAUACGUAGGUGGCAAGCGUUGUCCGGAAUUAUUGGGCGUAAAGGGCUCGCAGGCGGUUCCUUAAGUCUGAUGUGAAAGCCCCCGGCUCAACCGGGGAGGGUCAUUGGAAACUGGGGAACUUGAGUGCAGAAGAGGAGAGUGGAAUUCCACGUGUAGCGGUGAAAUGCGUAGAGAUGUGGAGGAACACCAGUGGCGAAGGCGACUCUCUGGUCUGUAACUGACGCUGAGGAGCGAAAGCGUGGGGAGCGAACAGGAUUAGAUACCCUGGUAGUCCACGCCGUAAACGAUGAGUGCUAAGUGUUAGGGGGUUUCCGCCCCUUAGUGCUGCAGCUAACGCAUUAAGCACUCCGCCUGGGGAGUACGGUCGCAAGACUGAAACUCAAAGGAAUUGACGGGGGCCCGCACAAGCGGUGGAGCAUGUGGUUUAAUUCGAAGCAACGCGAAGAACCUUACCAGGUCUUGACAUCCUCUGACAAUCCUAGAGAUAGGACGUCCCCUUCGGGGGCAGAGUGACAGGUGGUGCAUGGUUGUCGUCAGCUCGUGUCGUGAGAUGUUGGGUUAAGUCCCGCAACGAGCGCAACCCUUGAUCUUAGUUGCCAGCAUUCAGUUGGGCACUCUAAGGUGACUGCCGGUGACAAACCGGAGGAAGGUGGGGAUGACGUCAAAUCAUCAUGCCCCUUAUGACCUGGGCUACACACGUGCUACAAUGGACAGAACAAAGGGCAGCGAAACCGCGAGGUUAAGCCAAUCCCACAAAUCUGUUCUCAGUUCGGAUCGCAGUUUGCAACUCGACUGCGUGAAGCUGGAAUCGCUAGUAAUCGCGGAUCAGCAUUCCGCGGUGAAUACGUUCCCGGGCCUUGUACACACCGCCCGUCACACCACGAGAGUUUGUAACACCCGAAGUCGANGAGGUAACC